rnacentral:lncRNA from 1 species
UUCAAUUCACGCUCCAAUAACCAAACAAACCCUAAAUUUCCUAAUUCAGUCGCCGCUCACUUUCAUCAUCAACAGCGGCCAUCUUUCAUCAUCAUCGGCCGCCAUCUUUCAUCAUCACCGGUGAGCGGCAGCCAUCGUUCAUCACUUCACGUCUAUUCCAGCCGUCUUUCAUCCUCACCGGCGUCGUUCUACCAUGUAAGAAACACAAAUAUUUUGUCUGUGAAUGGUGUCGUAAUAAACACUCAAAAAAUGGCUAGAAUUUAAGGAAUGUGUUUAGUGACGGCAUCAGAUUCCUAAUUGAUGGAGAAAAGUCUGGUGGCAAGAAAAGCUGCUUCCAGGAGGUUGUCAAAUGUUUUCGCUCGACGAUUCCAUUCUUGGGUGGUUGGUUUGGCCCUUGUUCCUGUAACUCGAAUCCUAGCCCGGUAUAUCUCAUUUUAGUUUUACACCGUUGU